GGAGAAAUGGCUGAGCGGUCUAAAGCGCCUUCCUGCUAAGAAGGUGGCCUCACAAAAAGGGGCUCGAGGGUUCGAAUCCCUCUUUCUCCGCCA
rnacentral:tRNA from 1 species